AGCUCCAAUAGCGUAUAUUAAAGUUGUUGCAGUUAAAAAGCUCGUAGUUGGAUUUCGGAAUGGGCCAGUUGGUCCGCCUCACGGUGUGUUACUGGCUGGUCUGUUCUUCUUCACAAAGACUGCGUGUGCUCUUUACCGAGUGUGCGUAGGAUUUACGACGUUUACUUUGAAAAAAUUAGAGUGUUCAAAGCAGGCCUACCGCUUGAAUACAUGAGCAUGGAAUAAUGGAAUAGGACUUUGGUCUUAUUUUGUUGGUUUCUAAGACCGAAGUAAUGAUUAAGAGGGACAGUUGGGGGCAUUCGUAUUUCGUUGUCAGAGGUGAAAUUCUUGGAUUUACGAAAGACGAACAACUGCGAAAGCAUUUGCCAAGAAUGUUUUCA
rnacentral:rRNA from 1 species